CACACAGCUCAGUAACACGUGGCUAACCUGCCCUAGAGACAUGAACAACCCCGGGAAACUGGGAUUAAUUCGUGAUAAACCAAAGUUCCUGGAAUGGGCUUCGAUUCAAAGGAGUGUGCAGGUAUGUUCUGCACAUUUGCUCUAGGAUGGGACUGCGGCCGAUCAGGUUGUUGGCGGGGUAAUGGCCCACCAAGCCUAUAACCGGUACGGGCUUUGAGAGAAGGAGCCCGGAGAUGGACACUGAAGAAAGGGUCCAGGUCCUAUGGGGCGCAGCAGGCGCGAAACCUUCGCAAUGCGCGAAAGCGCGACGAGGUUAUUCCGAGUGUCGUCCGCUGAGGGCGACUUUUACCAGGUCUAAAUAGCCUGGGGAAUAAGGGGAGGGCAAGUCUGGUGUCAGCCGCCGCGGUAAUACCAGCUCCCCGAGUGGUCGGGAUGUUUAUUGGGCCUAAAGUAUCCGUAGCCUGUUCUGUAGGUCUCUGGUCAAAUCCAACGGCCCAACCGUUGGGCUGCAAGGGAUACCGCAGGACUAGGAGGCGGGAGAGGCGGAUGGUACUUCGUGUGUAGGGGUAAAAUCCUUUGAUCCACGAAAGACCACCAAUGGCGAAGGCGGUCCGCCAGAACGCGCUCGACGGUGAGGGAUGAAAGCUGGGGGAGCAAACC
rnacentral:rRNA from 1 species